GGUUGGAUCACCUCCUUACCAAGAAGAUGUGUGUUGCGUGAAGUGCUCACACAGAUUGUCUGAUGAAAAUACUGAGCAAGCGCACCUGUUGAUGCGAUGAGUGACAACUCAUGCUGACGCGAUAGUGCCGGAUUUUUAAUUCGGUACGGAUUUUCGUGUCCCAUCGCUAGAGGCCUAGGACACUGCCCUUUCACGGCUGUAGCAGGGUUCGAAUCCCUUGGGGACGCCAAUCCGAUAAUGAGUGAAAGACAUUAUCAUGAAUAUCUAAAGAUGAUUCUUCGGAGUCAUGUUUACGAUAUUGCUCUUUAACAAUCUGGAACAAGCUGAAAUUGACAUGACAGCGAACAUACUGACACAACAGUAAUGUGGUGUAGUGAUCAUCAGUCUGUCAAUGAGUCUCUCAAUAAUCGCAGCGCGAGUGCUUAUUAUAUUAUAAAGACACUUCGGUUGUGAGGUAAGCGACUAGCGUACACGGUGGAUGCCUAGCAGUCAGAGCAUGAAGGCGUGCUAUCUGCGAUAAGCGCGGUAACCGAUUAAAACACCUUCGGUUGUAAGUUA
rnacentral:misc_RNA from 1 species